GACGAAGGGGGCUAGCGUUGCUCGGAAUUACUGGGCGUAAAGGGUGCGUAGGCGGGUCUUUAAGUCAGAGGUGAAAUCCUGGAGCUCAACUCCAGAACUGCCUUUGAUACUGAGGAUCUUGAGUUCGGGAGAGGUGAGUGGAACUGCGAGUGUAGAGGUGAAAUUCGUAGAUAUUCGCAAGAACACCAGUGGCGAAGGCGGCUCACUGGCCCGAUACUGACGCUGAGGCACGAAAGCGUGGGGAGCAAACAGG
rnacentral:rRNA from 1 species